rnacentral:rRNA from 1 species
AAUAAGCUAAAUAAGAGCGUAUGGGGAAUGCCUAGGCUCUCAGAGGCGAUGAAGGACGUGAUAAGCUGCGAAAAGUUGCGGGGAUUGGCACAUACAAAUUGAUCCGCAAAUAUCCGAAUGGGGAAACCCACUAUAUUGAAGAUAUAGUAUCCGCAAGGAGGCAAACCCAGGGAACUGAAACAUCUAAGUACCUGGAGGAGAAGAAAACAAAAGUGAUUCCGUUAGUAGUGGCGAGCGAACGCGGAGUAGCCCAAACCAAUGUUGUUACGGCAAUAUUGGGGUUGUAGGACUGCGACAUUGUAUGAAUCAUGAAUUA